rnacentral:rRNA from 1 species
CCUACGGGUGGCAGCAGUGAGGAAUAUUGGUCAAUGGGCGAAAGUCUGAACCAGCCAAGUAGCGUGAGGGAUGAAGGCCCUACGGGUUGUAAACUUCUUUUGUACGGGAAUAAAAUACUCCACUUGUGGAGGUUUGCAUGUACCGUUAGAAUAAGGAUCGGCUAAGUCCGUGCCAGCAGCCGCGGUAAUACGGAGGGUCCGAGCGUUAUCCGGAUUUAUUGGGUUUAAAGGGGGCGCAGGCGGAUGUUCAAGUCGGCGGUAAAAUCGCGGGGCUCAACCCCGCCGCGCCGUUGAAACUGGGCGCCUUGAGUGCACAACGGGCAGGCGGAAUGCGUGGUGUAGCGGUGAAAUGCAUAGAUAUCACGAGGAACGCCGAUUGCGAAGGCAGCCUACCGGGGUGCAACUGACGCUGAGGCUCGAAGGUGCGGGUAUCAAACAGGAUUAGAUACCCGAGUAGUC